rnacentral:rRNA from 1 species
CAGCACCUCAAGUGGUCAGGAUGAUUAUUGGGCCUAAAGCAUCCGUAGCCGGCGCUGUAAGUUUUCGGUUAAAUCUGUACGCUCAACGUACAGGCUGCCGGGAAUACUGCAGCGCUAGGGAGUGGGAGAGGUAGACGGUACUCGGUAGGAAGGGGUAAAAUCCUUUGAUCUAUUGAUGACCACCUGUGGCGAAGGCGGUCAACCAGAACACGUCCGACGGUGAGGGAUGAAAGCUGGGGGAGCAAACCGGAUUAGAUACCCGAGUAGUCC